rnacentral:lncRNA from 1 species
AAUCAUAACAUUGACUAGGCAUUCAUAACUAUGGAAUACGCAUGUUAAUCCAGCCUAGAAUUCACUUAACACGAUUGUGGAUAACAACCUUCACUACUUGUGAAUAUAAGUUCAUAACGAUUAGGUGAAAUUUACUUAUAUUCUAGCAUCAAAUUCAUGCAUGUAAAUUAAGUAUGCAUUCUUAAUCGACAUACAAAAAUAAGUUAUCAAUCAAGCAGUUAAGCAAAUUAAAUCACAACUGAAGGUAAUCAAUUCAUAUUACAAAUAUAUUCAUGGCUUUGAACUUCCCCCUAGCUAAGUAGGGGAUUAGUUCCUCAUACUUGCAAUUAAACAAAAACAAUUGAUAUUAAACAUAGACAAACAAAGUAGAAUACACCUAGAAUGCUCCAACAACUCCAAUGGAAUGGCUAGCACAACUCCAAGCACUCCUCCUUCUUUGCAAGCCUUGGAACUAAUGUAAAUGUGUAUGAAUUUCUGUGUGUUUUGAAUGAGGUUGCUGCCAUGGUAUUUAUAGGAAAAGGAUGGACUUGUUUAACACAAAAUUCUGGUGGAAUUGAGUAUGUGAGCAAGGCAAAGAGUGGGAAUUGUUG